rnacentral:rRNA from 1 species
CUAGGGGCCGAGAGGUUACUGAACCCUAUCAAACUAAGAAUGCCAGAUAAUUGUUUUCCGGGAGUCAGACGGCGUGAGAUAAGUUUCGUCGUCAAAAGGGAAAGAGCCCAGACCCACAGCUAAGGUCCCAAAGUAUAGUUAAGUGGAAAAGGAUGUGGGGUUGCCCAGACAACCAGGAUGUUGGCUUAGAAGCAGCCACUCAUUAAAAGAGUGCGUAAUAGCUCACUGGUCGAGUGACCCUGCGCCGAAAAUUCAACGGGGCUAAAUUAUACACCGAAGCUUGGGAUACCGCAAGGUAUGGUAGGAGAGCGUUCUGUAAGGAGUGAAGUGAGAGCGAAAGCGUUCGUGGACUUUACAGAAGUGAGAAUGCCGGAAUGAGUAGCGAGAAAUAUGUGAGAAUCAUAUUGGCCGAAAGUCUAAGGUUUUUGGAGGAAGGUUCGUCCGCUCCAAGUAAGUCGGGAGCUAAGGUGAGGCCUAACGGCGUAGCCGAUGCACAUACGGUAGAUAUUCCGUAACCACCGAAAGAUUUAAACACAGGGACACCUUGAAAGGGCAUAUCCCGGGAGUUGGUUUACCCGGGCGUAAGGGAUCGAAAUUUGAGUAGAGAAGUAUGUUUGGACGAGGGCGAGAAAAGCUGUGUGUAUAUUUUAGGUGCCCGUACCGCAAACCGACACAGGUGGACAGGAAGAGGAUUCUAAGGCCAACGGGAGAAGGGUAAUUAAGGAACUCGGCAAAUUGACCCCGUAACUUAGGGAUAAGGGGUGCUCAUAGGAAUAUGAGCCGCAGAGAAUAGGCCCAGGCAACUGUUUAUCAAAAACACAGGUCUCUGCCAAAUCGAAAGAUGAAGUAUAGGGGCUGACACCUGCCCGGUGCUGGAAGGUUAAGAGGAGGAGUGAGAGCUCCGAAUUGAAGCCCCAGUAAACGGCGGCCGUAACUAUAACGGUCCUAAGGUAGCGAAAUUCCUUGUCGGGUAAGUUCCGACCCGCACGAAUGGUGUAAUGAUCUGGGCACUGUCUCAAUUACCCGCCCGGCGAAAUUGUAGUACCGGUGAAGAUGCCGGUUACCCGCGACAAGACGGAAAGACCCCAUGGAGCUUUACUGCAGCUUGAUAUUGGGUUUCGGUAAUCUAUGUACAGGAUAGGCGGGAGACUAGGAAGUAAAGGCGCCAGCUUUUACGGAGUCGCCCUUGGGAUACCGCUCUUAGAUUGCUGGAAUUCUAACCUGCGGCCAUGAAACUGGUCGGGGAACAUUGUCAGGCGGGCAGUUUGACUGGGGCGGUCGCCUCCUAAAG